rnacentral:tRNA from 1 species
CGGGGCUUGGCGCAGUCUGGUAGCGCACCUGGUUUGGGACCAGGGGGUCGCAGGUUCGAAUCCUGCCACUCCGACCA